UUGAUCCUGGCUCAGAAUCAACGCUGGCGGCGCGCCUAACACAUGCAAGUCGAACGAGAAAGUGGAGCAAUCCAUGAGUACAGUGGCGUACGGGUGAGUUACACGUGGGUAAUCUACCUUUUAGUGAGGAAUAACCGAGGGAAACUUUGUCUAAUACCGCAUAAGUCCGAGAGGAGAAAGUCGAAAGACGCUGAAAGAGUGGCCCGCGGCCGAUUAGCUAGUUGGUGGGGUAAGAGCCUACCAAGGCAGUGAUCGGUAGCCGGCCUGAGAGGGCACACGGCCACACUGGCACUGAAACAUGGGCCAGACUCCUACGGGAGGCAGCAGUGGGGAAUCUUGCACAAUGGGGUAAACCCUGAUGCAGCGACGCCGCGUGAGCGAUGAAGCCCUUCGGGGUGUUAAGCUCUUUCGUCAGGGAAGAUAGUGACGGUACCUGGAGAAGCAGCUGCUGCUAACUACGUGCCAGCAGCCGCGGUAAUU
rnacentral:rRNA from 1 species